rnacentral:rRNA from 1 species
CCCAUAGCGUAUAUUAAAGUUGUUGCCGUUAAAAAGCUCGUAGUUGAAUUUCGGGAUUGACACAUCGGUCGUGCCUUAAGGGGUAUGAACUGGUGUAGUCAAUUUCUCACCUUCUGGAGAACCGCGAUGCCCUUAAUUGGGUGUCGCGGGGAACCAGGACCUUUACUUUGAAAAAAUUAGAGUGUUUAAAGCAGGCAUUUUGCUUGAAUACAUUAGCAUGGAAUAAUAAAAUAGGACGGCAUGAUUCUAUUUUGUUGGUUUCUAGGAUCACCGUAAUGAUUAAUAGGGAUAGUUGGGGGCAUUAGUAUUCAAUUGUCAGAGGUGAAAUUCUUGGAUUUAUUGAAGACUAACUACUGCGAAAGCAUUUGCCAAGGAUGUUUUCAUUAAUCAAGAACGAAAGUUAGGGGAUCGAAGACGAUCAGAUACCGUCGUAGUCUUAACCAUAAACUAUGCCGACUAGGAAUCAGACGAUGUUAAUUUUUUAAUGACUCGUUUGGCACCUUACG